GAAUGACUUCCUGACUCUGGACCGAAACACAGACACCUGGACAGCUGAGGUACCACAGGCCCUAGCGCUCAAACAGCUUUAGGACCAGGACACUGAGCGCACAAGGCUGGACAGGAUUCAACUCCAUGAGAGCUGUGCCAAACUGAUGAAGGAGAUCACACAUUCUGAGCCCACCACCACUGGAGUCACUAGUUAUGACGCAGGGGAAUCAGUGGAAUUCCUGUUGUGUGUUCAAGGAGGGAUGUCCAUGCUGGCUGACCUUGCUUCUUUGCUAGCAGGCCUGGCCUUUGUUGCCCUGGUUACCACAAGCUUCCUCAUCUUUGAACAACAGGAUCCCAACUUUUCAGGACACCCUGGAGGUGUCCUUGGCUCCAUCGUCCACUAUCCUCAGAACGUCACAGAAACACCUCGUCCAGGAAAAGGCUAUCGGGUUCUCUAAAACCCAACGCUCCUUUCCCAAUAUACUUCUGAUGUCAACUGGUCACUACACAGCAGUGGUCUGGUCACACCCUGAUCUGUUUCACCUGUCUUUGUGCUUGUCUCCUGGUCUGUUGCCAGUUUGUCUUGUCAAGCCUACGAGCGUGGUUUCCCUAGUCUUUUUUCUAGCCCUCCCAGUUCCGACCGCCCUGACACUGAGCCUGCCUGCCUGACCAUUCAGCCUGCCCUGACACUGAGCCCACCUGCCUGACCACUCAGCCUUACCUGACCUUGUAUUUUAAUAAAUAUCAGAGGCUGGAACCAUCUGCCUCCAGUGUCUGCAUCUGGGUCUCGCCCUGUGUCGUUAUAGGUCUGGUGACCAAAAUACCUUGAUUGCAUUCUCAUUUCCUACCUUUCGACUCAAAAUGUAUGUUCACUCCUCCUUGAUAUGGUGGAAACUGCAAAUACACAUUUUGGGGUAUGGGCAUUGUAAUUCAACAAUAUAUGUUCCCUGGUCCGUCCAACUCUCUGGUCCCCGUUUCUCCCAGGGCCUUCUACCAAAUAGGGCUAUCUUCUGUAUACCACCCCUACCUUGUCACAACACAACUGAUUGGCUCAAACGCAUUAAGAAGGAAAGAAAUUCCACAAAUUAACAAGGCACACCUGUUAAUUGAAAUGCAUUACAGGUGACUACCUCAUGAAGCUGGUUGAGAGAAUGCCAAGAGUUUGCCAAGCUGUCAUCAAGGCAAAAGGUGGCUACUUUGAAGAAUCUCAAAUAUAAUAUAUACUUGUUUAACACCUUUUUGGUUACUACAUGAUUCCAUAUGUGUUAUUUCAUAGUUUUGAUGUCCUCACUAUUAUUCUAAAAUGUAGAACAUAGUAAAAAUAAAGAAAAACCCUUGAAUGAGUAGGUUUGUCCAAACUUUUUACUGGUACUGUACAUCACAGAAGACUGAAAUAUAACAAUUGCGCAGUGGUCUAAGGCACUGCAUCUCAGUGCAAGAGAAGUCACUACAGUACCUGGUUCAAAUCCAGGCUGUAUCACAUCAGGCCACUAGAGGGCAAUUUGGUCAUUAGACUGCAGGAAAGGAUACCUGUUUAUUACUUUUGUACUGGUUAUAAAAUAUACAGAAGUCAUCUUUCACUGCAAAAAUCGAGAUGCUGAAUUUACCACAGUGAUCUAAGGAUUUUCAUACGCUCCGAUGAACUCAAAAGGUCAAUUUGGUUAGGGUUCCAAAACAAUAAAAGAAAACAUGAUUUGAUAACCCACCCUUGAUUAUUUUCUAACCACACAAUCUGAAGUACAUGAAAGAGCUCAGUAGGGUAAGCCUACUUGAAAUGCUGUCUGGAGCAAUUUCUAGAGGCAUUCUAUAUAUCAUCCCUUUAAUACUUUUCCUGAAAUACAAUUGAUUUCUUUUAACAAUGUCCAUUUUUUGAAACAGUGGAAGAGAUUGCCAGAGCCCUAUUGUUUGCAUUGUUCCUCACCGUCAUGUCAACAAGCUUUGUAGGUUGGCCACCUUUGUGAAAACAGUGUAACUUCAAUGGGUGAGCGAGGUGAGGGGAAAUAUUUUGAACAAAAAUAGAAAUGCAACAUGUAAAGUGUUGGUCCCAUGUUUCAUGAGCUAAAAUAAAAGAUCCCAGAAAUUUUCCAAAAUGCUAAAAAAAGCUUAUUUCUCUAAAACGCUGUGCACAGAUGUAUUUACAUCCCUGUUAGUCAGCAUUUCUAAUUUGCCAAGAUAAUCCAUCCACCUGACAGGUGUGACAUAUCAAGAAGCUGAUUAAACAGCAUGACAAUUACACAGGUGUACCUUGUGCUGGGGACAAUAAAAGGCCACCCUAAAAUGCAAAGUUUUGUCACACAAGACAAUGCCAAAGAUUGUCUCAAAUUUUGAGGGAGCGUGCAAUUGGCAUGCUGACUGCAGGAAUGUUCACCAGAGCUGUGGCCAGAUAAUUUAAUGUUAAUUUCUCUACCAUAAGACACCUCCAAGGUCGUUUUAGACAAUUUGGCAGUAUGUCCAACUGACCUCACAACUGCAGAUCAAGUGUAACCACGCGGGAUCGUUUGAGACCAACCACCCGGACAUCUGAUGAAACUGUGGGUUUGUACAACCAAAUUAAUUUCUGCACAAACUGUCAGAAUCUAGUCUCAGGGAAGCUAAUCUGUGUGCUCGUCGUCCUCACCAGGGUCUUGACUUGACUGCAUCGGCGUCGUAACUGACUUCAGUGGGCAAAUGCUCACCUUCGGUGGCCACUGGCAUGCUGGAGAAGUGUGCUCUUCACAGAUUAAUCCCAUUUUCAACAGAUGGCAGACGGGGUUGUGUGGCCGAACGGUUUGCUGAUGUCAACGUUGUGAACAGAGUGCCCCAUGGUGGGGUUAUGGUAUGGGCAGGCAUAAGCUACAGACAACGAACACAAUUGCAUUUUAAUCGAUGGCAAUUUGAAUGCACAGAGAUACCAUGACGAGAUCCUGAGGCCCAUUAUCGUGCCAU
rnacentral:lncRNA from 8 species